UACGUAGGGCGCAAGCGUUGUCCGGAAUUAUUGGGCGUAAAGAGCUCGUAGGUGGUUUGUUACGUCUGCUGUGAAAACCUAGGGCUUAACCCUGGGCCUGCAGUGGAUACGGGCAGACUAGAGGUAGGUAGGGGAGAAUGGAAUUCCCGGUGUAGCGGUGAAAUGCGCAGAUAUCGGGAGGAACACCGGUGGCGAAGGCGGGUCUCUGGGCCGAUACUGACGCUGAGGAGCGAAAGCGUGGGGAGCGAACAGG
rnacentral:rRNA from 1 species